rnacentral:ncRNA from 1 species
AUGCAAAUUUUAGUGAGAAUUUUUAUUUAUUUUAAAAAUAAAUAAGUUUUAUUAUAGUCGCAGUAAUUAAUAUUAUUGAUUAAAGAAAUUUAGAAAUAGAUAUAUUAUUAAAUAUUGGCUAAAUUUGUGCCAGCAGCCGCGGUUAUACAAAUGAUGUAAAAGAAUUUUUUUAAUAUAAGUUAAAUUGAAAUUUUAAAAUAUAAUAGUGUUUAUUAGGUGAAAUUUUAAAUAUUAAAAAUUUUUAAAAUAAGGAUAAUUGAAGCUUGUAAAAUUUAUAUAAAAACUAGGAUUAGAUACCCUAUUAUUAAAUUGUAAAAUUAAAAAUUUGAGUAGUAUUAGUUAUGAUCUUGAAACUUAAAGAAUUUGGCGGUAUUUUAGUCUAUUCAGAGGAACCUGUUCUGUAAUCGAUAAUCCACGAUGGACCUAACUUAAAUUAGUUAAUCAGUUUAUAUACCGUCGUUAUCAGAAUAUUUUGUAAAAAUAAUAAUUUUCUAAAAUUUUAAUUAAAAUAUAUAUCAGAUCAAGGUGUAGCUUAUAUUUAAGUAGAAAUGGGUUACAAUAAAUUUAUUUAUAUGGAUUUAAAUAUGAAAAAUUUAUUGAAAGUGGAUUUGAUAGUAAAAUUAUAAAGAUAAAUAAUUUGAUUAUAGCUCUAAAAUAUGUACACAUCGCCCGUCGCUCUUAUUACUAAGAUAAGAUAAGUCGUAACAUAGUAGAGGUACUGGAAAGUGUAUCUAGAAUG